GCCCCUUUCCGCGGCGAGAGAAAAGGCAAAAGCUCACCAUUUGGAAUCGCUUCGGCGAGUUGUGAAUUGCAGGUUGGCGCCUCUGCGGCGGCGGCGGUCCAAGUCCCUUGGAACAGGGCGCCAUUGAGGGUGAGAGCCCCGUGGGACCGUUUGCCUAUGCUCUGAGGCCCUUCUGACGAGUCGAGUUGUUUGGGAAUGCAGCUCUAAGCGGGUGGUAAAUUCCAUCUAAGGCUAAAUACUGGCGAGAGACCGAUAGCGAACAAGUACUGUGAAGGAAAGAUGAAAAGCACUUUGAAAAGAGAGUGAAACAGCACGUGAAAUUGUUGAAAGGGAAGGGUAUUGCGCCCGACAUGGAGCGUGCGCACCGCUGCCCCUCGUGGGCGGCGCUCUGGGCGUGCUCUGGGCCAGCAUCGGUUUUUGCCGCGGGAGAAGGGCGGCGGGCAUGUAGCUCUUCGGAGUGUUAUAGCCUGCCGCCGGCGCCGCGAGCGGGGACCGAGGACUGCGACUUUUGUCUCGGAUGCUGGCACAACGGCGCAACACCGCCCGUCUUGAAACAUGGACCAAGGAGUCUAACGUCUAUGCGAGUGUUUGGGUGUGAAACCCCGGGCGCGUAANGGAAAGUGAACGUANGUCGGACCGCUCCUCUCGGGGGGCGGGCACGAUCGACCGAUCCUGAUGUCUUCGGAUGGAUUU
rnacentral:rRNA from 1 species